GACGAACGCUGGCGGCGUGCUUAACACAUGCAAGUCGAACGGAAAGGCCCUGCUUUUGUGGGGUGCUCGAGUGGCGAACGGGUGAGUAACACGUGAGUAACCUGCCCUUGACUUUGGGAUAACUUCAGGAAACUGGGGCUAAUACCGGAUAGGAGCUCUUGCUGCAUGGUGGGGGUUGGAAAGUUUCGGCGGUUGGGGAUGGACUCGCGGCUUAUCAGCUUGUUGGUGGGGUAGUGGCUUACCAAGGCUUUGACGGGUAGCCGGCCUGAGAGGGUGACCGGCCACAUUGGGACUGAGAUACGGCCCAGUCGCCUACGGGAGGCAGCAGUGGGGAAUAUUGCACAAUGGGCGGAAGCCUGAUGCAGCAACGCCGCGUGCGGGAUGACGGCCUUCGGGUUGUAAACCGCUUUCGCCUGUGACGAAGCGUGAGUGACGGUAAUGGGUAAAGAAGCACCGGCUAACUACGUG
rnacentral:rRNA from 1 species